rnacentral:rRNA from 1 species
AGAGUUUGAUCCUGGCUCAGGAUGAACGCUAGCGGAAGGCUUAAUACAUGCAAGUCGAGCGGUAGGUGGCUUCGGCCAUUGAGAGCGGCGCACGGGUGAGUAACGCGUACAUGACCUGCCUGUCAGAAGGGGAUAGCCCUGGGAAACUGGGAUUAAUACCCUAUGGUAUUGAUGUUAUAGAUGAUAUCAAUUAAAGCUGAGGCGCUGACAGAUGGAUGUGCGUCUGAUUAGCUAGUUGGUAGGGUAACGGCCUACCAAGGCGACGAUCAGUAGGGGGCGUGAGAGCGUGGUCCCCCACACGGGUACUGAGACACGGACCCGACUCCUACGGGAGGCAGCAGUAAGGAAUAUUGGUCAAUGCCCGCAAGGGUGAACCAGCCAUUCCGCGUGGAGGAUGAAGGCCCUAUGGGUUGUAAACUUCUUUUAGAUGGGAAGAAAAUGCUAGAAUUUUCUGGUACUGACGGUACCAUCAGAAUAAGCACCGGCUAACUCCGUGCCAGCAGCCGCGGUAAUACGGAGGGUGCGAGCGUUAUCCGGAAUUACUGGGUUUAAAGGGUGCGUAGGCGGAUGAUUAAGUCUAAGGUGAAAGUUUGUCGCUUAACGAUAAAAUUGCCUUGGAUACUGGUUAUCUUGAAUAAGGAUGAGGAUGGCGGAAUGUGGCAUGUAGCGGUGAAAUGCAUAGAUAUGCCAUAGAACACCAAUUGCGAAGGCAGCUAUCUGGUCUUUUAUUGACGCUGAGGCACGAAAGCGUGGGGAUCGAACAGGAUUAGAUACCCUGGUAGUCCACGCCCUAAACGAUGCUAACUCGAUGUUUGGUCGUAAGAUUGAGCAUCCAAGCGAAAGCGUUAAGUUAGCCACCUGGGGAGUACGACCGCAAGGUUGAAACUCAAAGGAAUUGACGGGGGUC